rnacentral:rRNA from 1 species
CAGUCGAGCGACAGAUAAGGAGCUUGCUCCUUUGACGUUAGCGGCGGACGGGUGAGUAACACGUGGAUAACCUACCUAUAAGACUGGGAUAACUUCGGGAAACCGGAGCUAAUACCGGAUAACAUAUUGAACCGCAUGGUUCAAUAGUGAAAGGCGGCUUUGCUGUCACUUAUAGAUGGAUCCGCGCCGUAUUAGCUAGUUGGUAAGGUAACGGCUUACCAAGGCAACGAUACGUAGCCGACCUGAGAGGGUGAUCGGCCACACUGGAACUGAGACACGGUCCAGACUCCUACGGGAGGCAGCAGUAGGGAAUCUUCCGCAAUGGGCGAAAGCCUGACGGAGCAACGCCGCGUGAGUGAUGAAGGUCUUCGGAUCGUAAAACUCUGUUAUCAGGGAAGAACAAAUGUGUAAGUAACUGUGCACAUCUUGACGGUACCUGAUCAGAAAGCCACGGCUAACUACGUGCCAGCAGCCGCGGUAAUACGUAGGUGGCAAGCGUUAUCCGGAAUUAUUGGGCGUAAAGCGCGCGUAGGCGGUUUUUUAAGUCUGAUGUGAAAGCCCACGGCUCAACCGUGGAGGGUCAUUGGAAACUGGAAAACUUGAGUGCAGAAGAGGAAAGUGGAAUUCCAUGUGUAGCGGUGAAAUGCGCAGAGAUAUGGAGGAACACCAGUGGCGAAGGCGACUUUCUGGUCUGUAACUGACGCUGAUGUGCGAAAGCGUGGGGAUCAAACAGGAUUAGAUACCCUGGUAGUCCACGCCGUAAACGAUGAGUGCUAAGUGUUAGGGGGUUUCCGCCCCUUAGUGCUGCAGCUAACGCAUUAAGCACUCCGCCUGGGGAGUACGACCGCAAGGUUGAAACUCAAAGGAAUUGACGGGGACCCGCACAAGCGGUGGAGCAUGUGGAUUUAAUUCGAAGCAACGCGAAGAACCUUACCAAAUCUUGACAUCCUUUGACCGCUCUAGAGAUAGAGUCUUCCCCUUCGGGGGACAAAGUGACAGGUGGUGCAUGGUUGUCGUCAGCUCGUGUCGUGAGAUGUUGGGUUAAGUCCCGCAACGAGCGCAACCCUUAAGCUUAGUUGCCAUCAUUAAGUUGGGCACUCUAAGUUGACUGCCGGUGACAAACCGGAGGAAGGUGGGGAUGACGUCAAAUCAUCAUGCCCCUUAUGAUUUGGGCUACACACGUGCUACAAUGGACAAUACAAAGGGCAGCUAAACCGCGAGGUCAAGCAAAUCCCAUAAAGUUGUUCUCAGUUCGGAUUGUAGUCUGCAACUCGACUACAUGAAGCUGGAAUCGCUAGUAAUCGUAGAUCAGCAUGCUACGGUGAAUACGUUCCCGGGUCUUGUACACACCGCCCGUCACACCACGAGAGUUUGUAACACCCGAAGCCGGUGGAGUAACCA